ACUGGACACUCUCAGUCUAUCGGUGGAUCGAUCGAUCAAUGCAAGACAAAUCGCUAAGAAGCCGAAGACAGCUCCAAAUUUCCCCAAUUUUGUGGGGUUUAGGGUUCUUCUCGGUUCUGAAAGAGAUCGUGAGAGUUUCUUUCCGCAAAGAAUGGGGCACUACGAGCAGCGCCGCCAUGAGCGCUGUCCAAGAAUUCCAGCAGGAUUUCGGGGUGAUGGGAGCGGUGGUGGCUGGAGCUUACCAGGUCUUCGAGCUACUCACUAGAUUCAAUGUCCUAGACCAGCGCAGAAGCUUUCUCGCAAGCUCGUCCAUAUGACAACGGGUCCACUCUUCAUGCCUUCGUGGCCCCUCUUCAGCUCUUCGUCGGCGUCCCGCUACAUUUGUUCGCUAGUUCCACUGGCCAACGCUGUGCGUCUUCUAAUCCUCGGCCUCGGUUUGAGAACAAACGAAGGGGUGGUGAAGUCGAUGAGCAGAGAUGGCGAUGCCAAAGAGCUUUUACGAGGUCCUUUAUACUAUGUAGCGGUGCUCUUCGUAAGCACAGUGUGUUUCUGGCGUGACUCCCCCGUUGAAUGAUAGCUCUGUCUGUGAUGUGCGGCGGUGACGGCAGGAAGUUCGGGCGUUAAAAGCUUCCAUACAAUGAGAAAAAAAGCUGGGCCGGAAGCACAGCAAUGUUCGUCUGUGGAACAGCGCUCUCUUUCGUGUCGAUCUAUUACUUCACGUUUAUGCCUUGGAUCCGCUCGAUACUCUAGCUCGUGUCACAUUCAUCUCGCUAGCAGCAACGCUUGUGGAAUCGCUGCCAAUCACGUCGUCUUUGGAUGACAAUCUCAUGGUCCCAACGACGGCCAUGCUGCUCAGCUCGAUCUUAUUCUGAAGUAAGAGGUUCGUGACUCCACUUUCUCACAUUUUAUUUUAAGCAACGGUUAAAGCGAAACAAGCUUUGAUGCUAAGCUUCCAUGCAGCUGGGCCGGCAGGACAGCAGUGUUUGUCUGCAGAACAGCUCUCCCUUUUGCGUAAGUGUCUAAGCAUCGACUUCAGGGAUCCACUCUUGCUCGUCUCGGCUGGCCGUCAAGACCACUGUCGGACCACUACGAAAGUGAAAACAAGCUGCGACCGUGCAUGUCAUGGCGCCCAUGGCCAAUCCAAGACCAAGGAACACCGGAAAGUUAUUAGCUAUCUUCAUGUCGUGCCUGUUUCUUCAACCUACAAACCUUCAGCUGAAAGAAAUGCCAAGGACGCUACGGACUUUGAAACUACGGUCCACUCUGCUCGUUUCCAUCUCUCGACGAAA